CAGUUAUUUUAAAAUGUAAUAAUAUUUCCCUGAUUUUUAUUUUAUUUUUUAAAAAUAAAUGCAGCCUUGGAGGGCAAAAGACAUGGCAAAAGACAAAUCACAAACAUCAAGAAAAUCUUAUUCGUUCCAAACUUUUGAGCUGCGAGGUACUAUUUUUCAUCUGUAAAGUUCAGAACCAAAACAAUUCCCUACUCCAAGUAUUAAAGUGUGUAUAUUUUAAGGAGUCAGACUUAACGGUUCGUUUUAGCAAGAUGAUAAUGCGGGCAAAAUUAUCUAUAUAAUUAUAUUGUAACAAGGAUCUCACCUGCAUUUAAGGUUUUUGCACACUGAGUCUGAAAUUUUUGCAAGUUAAAAAAAUAAAUACAACCUCACGCUGUGUCAUUUAUUUCUAUGUAUUUCAUUUAUACACUGCCUUCGAUUUUCUGCAUUUUCAACAUUUUGCUAUGAAAGGAUGACAAAUAACAAAAAACAAAAGAGUGCAUACAACAUUUCAGACUUUUAGAGAGCAAAACAUAAUUAACAGUUGCAUAAUGACACAUUUUAUUUGUAUCUGUGUCCAUUUCUCUCUUGCAGACCCAUCAGGCCGUCUCUCAGCGGUGAGCGGCGGGAUCUUUCACCGGGCUCACGGACACGCACCUGCUCGGAUAACAUUCCCAGAGGAGCCACACGUGGACUGAUCAGUUUUAAAAUGAACAGACAACCGAUCAAAAUCAGCCCCAUGCAGGGGAACAGGACAUCCAAUAAGGUGUCCGAGACGCCCGGUUUCAGAGCCCAAUGUCAAACUCCCACCCCGGGGAGAGACUUCACAGGAAACAGCAGAUGGAGACCCAAAAGAGCAUCGGAUACUCUUCUCUGCCAUGAUGAGAACCAUACGGGCGCGUCUGAAAGCUCUUCGUUCAAGAUCCAUAGAGGCCUGGAUCCAGGGGAACUGGAGGAAGAGGAAACCGAAGGGACACAAGGCCACUCUCCGGUGAAAGAGGCACAGAGGUCGUCCACUUCAGAGGACACAGCGCACGUUUCACUGGAAGAGCGCAAAUUAAAGUCAACCGGUUCUGUCGGUGACGUCUCUAAGAACGCUGCAAGCAAAAACAAGAAUGGGACUGUGUUGAAUGAACAGUCUGUUUCGAAACUGUCCAAUCAUGAACCCAGCCUCCGCUCAGGCCGCUCUCUUCAGGAAGCUCCAGCUAGGCAUCCGAGGACCUCUGGAGAAAGAGUUGCCCCCUCUGUGCCUGUUAGAAAAGACAUACUCACUUCACCUCCAGAGGCCAAGAGCAAAGACCCCUUUGGGUCGUUUUACAGCAACAGACUGAGGAGGAAGCCCCCAGUUUUCUACAAGACAUACAAGAGAUCCAAGCCUAGCUCCACAGAGCCAAUCGUGCUGUCCAGCGAUGAUGAAGGAGCCGAUGAGAUGAAUGACGUGUCUGGGGGUUUGCAAGAGCAGCGGAUUUCUGAGGGGAUCAGGGACGCUCAGUCAGGGAACCAAAAGAGCCCAAAGACAAACGCAGGAGGUGAAACAUCAGCGACCAAAGUAGAAGUGCCUUCCAACAUCGAACUGGACUUCAGCAGACUCCAUUACGACACAUUCGAGGCGCAGGCCAACGGGACCAUUGUGAUCACAGAUGAAGGCAUCUAUGUACCACUGAAAGGUGUUGAUGGAGAGGGUGAGGUAGCCGUUAGCGUGUCAUGCUCUCAGCUGCUCUUGUACGGCGUGUGGGACGGCGGACUGGCCCGAGACGGCAGUUUGUUAUCGAGCACAGAGGAGCCCGCACCUUCUCUCCUCUUCCUCAUGGUGUCAGAUGCUCAAGCCAGGCUACUCCAGACAGAGCUGUCUGUGCUGCACACCGUACACACUUCAGGUGAGCCCUGCACAGGAGCAUUCUGGGUAGGGAUCCAUUUGAGCUGA
ensembl:lncRNA